GAUGAACGCUGGCGGCGUGCUUAACACAUGCAAGUCGAACGAGAAAUGUAGACGGAAACCUUCGGGCGGAAGCCUUCAUUUCGAGUGGCGGACGGGUGAGUAACGCGUGGGUAACCUGCCUCAUACAGGGGGAUAACAGUUGGAAACGACUGUUAAUACCGCAUAAGACCACAGCAUCGCAUGAUGCGGGGGUAAAAACUCCGGUGGUAUGAGAUGGACCCGCGUUCGAUUAGCCAGUUGGCGGGGUAACGGCCCACCAAAGCGACGAUCGAUAGCCGAUCUGAGAGGAUGAUCGGCCACAUUGGGACUGAGACACGGCCCAAACUCCUACGGGAGGCAGCAGUGGGGAAUAUUGCACAAUGGGGGAAACCCUGAUGCAGCGACGCCGUGUGAGUGAAGAAGUACUUCGGUAUGUAAAGCUCUAUCAGCAGGGAAGAAAAUGACGGUACCUGAGUAAGAAGCCCCGGCUAACUACGUG
rnacentral:rRNA from 1 species